rnacentral:rRNA from 1 species
AAUAGAUACCCAGGUAGUCCACGCCGUAAACGAUGAGUGCUAAGUGUUGGGGGGUUUCCGCCCCUCAGUGCUGCAGCUAACGCAUUAAGCACUCCGCCUGGGGAGUACGGUCGCAAGACUGAAACUCAAAGGAAUUGACGGGGGCCCGCACAAGCGGUGGAGCAUGUGGUUUAAUUCGAAGCAACGCGAAGAACCUUACCAGGUCUUGACAUCCCGGUGACCACUAUGGAGACAUAGUUUCCCCCUUCGGGGGCAACGGUGACAGGUGGUGCAUGGUUGUCGUCAGCUCGUGUCGUGAGAUGUUGGGUUAAGUCCCGCAACGAGCGCAACCCUUAUUCUUAGUUGCCAUCAUUCAGUUGGGCACUCUAAGGAGACUGCCGGUGAUAAACCGGAGGAAGGUGGGGAUGACGUCAAAUCAUCAUGCCCCUUAUGACCUGGGCUACACACGUGCUACAAUGGACGGUACAAACGGUUGCCAACCCGCGAGGGGGAGCUAAUCCGAUAAAACCGUUCUCAGUUCGGAUUGUAGGCUGCAACUCGCCUAC